UUUUAUUUUAAACAGAAAUAUUAACGAAAAUUUCUCAGGCGGGAGUUUUUGGCGCACGAAAAUUUCCCACCAAUAUCAAAUGAAAAUUUUUGAUCACCACCCAAACCCUCCCUCACCCUUUCCCUCUGUUCUGCGUAAGUCUCAACAUACUCUUUCAGAAACCCUAGAGAUUUCCCGAGACUCUAAAAUCCCUAAUGUCUCUCGCUCUCUCUUUCUUUCUCUCUCUCUGCCUUAGCUUUGUGUCUUCAGAGCUCAAAUCCAGCGUAUUAGUGUAUAUAUGUGUUUGUGUAGGUUGAUUAGAUCUUCGCUCUCUCUCUCUCUCGCUCGCUCAAGUUCGUCAACUUUUGACUAUUCAAUGGCAGAAGGCAAGCUCGAUCUGCCGGACAAUCUCCUUGUAUCCCAUGCCCCGCCACUGGAGACAUCCUUCACGACGCCGGAUUGCUGAGAAAAUGAGAAACCCCAUAUGCUUUCUUUAGCUUCCGAGAACUGAAAUUGAACCUUUAAGCGGGUUUUUGAUUUGUGCAGGGAAGAUAAUGGACAAUUGGGGCUCGCGGCGCUCGAGCAGCUCAAGAACCUAGACUUUCAUGUCGAGUCGGCCCGGGCCGUCAAGCUGUACAACAAAAUAAAGGAGGCGUUGGCAUCAAAUGAAUUGUACCAUUUAACGGUGAUGAUAACAAUCCCAGGAAGAGAGAAAGAGAGUUUGAAUAUAAAUCUGAGGGUGUUUAUGAGAUUUUGUCAUGGGUUAAUCGGAGUCGUAAGCUCGGGGAGAAAAGGAAUGCUGAAAAGGAGAAAGCCUUGCAGCUCUCAAAGGUUUUUGUGGAACAGGACAAUAUUGGUCAAGGAGAUAGUGAAGACGAGGAACCAAGUCAGCAUACUGCUCACAAUCUGGGAGGGGUGAAAGUUCUUCAUGGCCUUGACAAAGUAAUGGAAGGUGGGGCAGUUGUUUUAACACUCAAAAGAUCAGAAUAUACUUGCAGAUGGUGACGUCAAUGAAGGUGAAGACUCGGGUGAAUGUGUAAGAAUUUCAUCCUCAUACGCCCUCUCAAUCCUUUGCAAGAAGUCAACAACCUCUGGCACUCCCCUUGAUCGGGGAUGACGACCUUGCUGAGUCGCCCUCCUAUGCUCAAUCACCCUCUUGGGAGUGGUCACUCUCUCUGGAGUCCUUGGAACCUGAACACGUCAUCGCCUCUCGCGGUUAAUGCUAGGUGUUCUUAUUCUAAAAGGACAUAACCGGAGGAUCUCAUAACCUUCCUGACAAGCCCAUCGUACCUGCCUGAUUAAUCGUCCGUUGAUGUCUUGGGUAUCAUCAUCAAUGUCGUGCAUGUCCGCCAUACUGGUCUCAAGUAUAAAUACGAAGAGAAAAGAGAAAACAUAUUCCACUAGUAAAUACACCAUAUACCCAUAAUAAUGUAUUUCCUCAUAUGAUAAAUUCUCAUGCAAAGAGGUUCAACUUCUAACACAUGGGAAGGGUCGGCAAAAUACUUUCGUAGUACCGGCACAUGAAAAGCAUUGUGAAUUCUGGAGAGAUGUGGGGGUAAAGCAAGGCGAUAAGUUAAUGAACCGAUAUGCUCCAAAAUCUCAUAAGGACCAAUAUAUUGGGGAUUUAAUUUACCCCUCUUCCCGAAACAAGUCACUCCUUUUAGGCUUUUGAAAGAAAAUGAAGUAAAUUUGAAAGAUUUGGGCUCAAAGAGAGAAAUUGGAAAAAAUUGGAGCCCCUGACAGUGCGAUCGAGCGCAGGAAACCUGUGAUCAAGCACACUACUAGAGAAGACAAGCGAGUGCGGCCAUGUGCAAUCAUGCACACAACAGAAGAGUCUCGAUCGCAGACGUGCGAUUGAGCGCACACGGGUUGCCAUCGAUCGCACCCGUGCGCAGGUGACACAUCAAGAGGCGGCCAGACUAAUAUUCUUUCCAUAUUAGGGUUUUCCAAGUCCCACUUGUAAUAGGAGUAAAACUUUACGAAUUUUUUAGGUUUACUCGUGUGUCAAAGACUUCUAAAGCCUAUAAAUAGACAUCUUAGGCACAAGCUUUGGAAAAGAAUUGAAAGAUAAAUCAAGAAGAGUUUGGGUUUUUCUUCUCUUCCACCUUUUAUGUUUAUUAUGUAGUUUAUAUUUUAAUUAAGGCUCGAUUGAAGCCCUAGUCAUGUCUUUUUAAGAUCGCAAUAUUGGCACCUUUGC